GGCUAGUCCCGAGAAAGUAAGUUUACCAUUGAUUACAACUAGUUGCAGAUUUCUUUGUUUCCUUCUCCACUCCCACUGACUCACUUGACUGGCCUAAA
rnacentral:Y_RNA from 1 species